rnacentral:rRNA from 1 species
UCGCGAAAACUUCGCAAUGGGGGAAACCCCGACGAGGGGAUUCCAAGUGCCAGCACACUGUGUUGGCUGUUCUCCUGUCCAAAAAGCAGGAGGAGUAAGGGCCGGGUAAGACGGGUGCCAGCCGCCGCGGUAAUACCCGCGGCCCGAGUGGUGGUCGAUUUUAUUGAGCCUAAAACGUCCGUAGCCGGCCUGGUAAAUCCUUGGGUAAAUCGGGCAGCUUAACUGUCCGAAGUCCGGGGAGACUGCCAGGCUUGGGACCGGGAGAGGUCAGAGGUACUUCCGGGGUAGGGGUAAAAUCCUAUAAUCCUGGAAGGACCACCGGUGGCGAAGGCGUCUGACUAGAACGGAUCCGACGGUGAGGGACGAAGCCCUGGGGCGCAAACGGGAUUAGAUACCCCGGUAGUCCAGGGUGUAAACGCUGCGGGCUUGGUGUUGGGAGUCCUCUGAGGGCGCCCAGUGCCGGAGAGAAGUUGUUAAGCCUGCUGCUUGGGGAGUACGUCCGCAAGGAUGAAACUUAAAGGAAUUGGCGGGGGAGCACCGCAACGGGAGGAGCGUGCGGUUCAAUUGGAUUCAACGCCGGAAAACUCACCAGGGGCGACGGAUACAUGAAGGCCAGGCUGAUGACCUUGCCUGAUUAUCC